rnacentral:lncRNA from 1 species
UACAGUUUUCCGUACCCAAUGUAGUGCAGAGCUCGCUAAAGUUGGAAAUUAGCAUCGUGGAGGAAGAUCCAAUGUUCAAAUGGAAUUUGGUUCAUCUUGCUUGGCCCGAUCGUAGCCCGGCUUUGAACCAUAUUGAGCUUAUAUGGGACACUAUUGGGCGGAAAGUGAGCGAAAGGACACCCCAGUUCAAACACAACAUGAAAUAAACAAUUCCCUUCAUCAGAAAUGGUUGCUGCUACCUUAGCAACAAAUUAGUCGAUUUAUGCAGGAAUCAGAAGACGUUAAGAUGCGGUUAUCCGUUUGAAUGGAGGCUGCGCACAAAGUACUAAUUCUUUGGCGUAUAACGAUCAACCAUGAUGUGAACAGUCAUCUGAAGAUUAAUUUUGAAAUGUCUGACAUUGUAAAGUUCGACUACAGUGAAACUUGUCAAAUGCGUUUUUUUGUACAAAAAACACUUCAUUUUGUUAUUGAAAUUGUGGUUAUAUUAAUCAUUUUUUUUUAAACAUUUU